rnacentral:tRNA from 1 species
GUGGUGGCUCAGUGGUAGAGUGCUCGCCUGGCAUGCAUGAGGCACUGGGUUUGAUCCUCAGCACCACA